UUGUAUCCCAGACUGGCCUCAGAUUCAUAAAGAUCCUCCUGCCUCAGCCUCCUGAGUGCUGGAUUACAGGCGUGUGGGGCUCUACACAUACUCUUGACAUGGUAGUUUGUCUGGUAACAGACACAAAAAGGAGAAGACCAUGUAGAGAUGGAGACAGAAAUUACAGUGAAGCUGCCCACGAAAUGCCUGGAAGCACUAGAAGCUGGAAGGAUCAAGGAAACACCUAAGAAGUGGAUAAGAAGGAGCACUGCUCUGAUGACACUUUGACUUUGGACUUCUGAUCCUCAGUAUAAAAGAAUAAAUUUCUUUUGUUUUGA